UGGGGAGUACGGUCGCAAGAUUAAAACUCAAAGGAAUUGACGGGGACCCGCACAANGCGGUGGAUGAUGUGGAUUAAUUCGAUGCAACGCGAAAAACCUUACCUACCCUUGACAUGUACGGAAUCCUGCUCGAGAGGUGGGAGUGCCCGAAAGGGAGCCGUAACACAGGUGCUGCAUGGCUGUCGUCAGCUCGUGUCGUGAGAUGUUGGGUUAAGUCCCGCAACGAGCGCAACCCUUGUCCCUAGUUGCUACGCAAGAGCACUCCAGGGAGACUGCCGGUGACAAAUCCGGAGGAAGGUGGGGAUGACGUCAAGUCCUCAUGGCCCUUAUGGGUAGGGCUUCACACGUCAUACAAUGGUCGGAACAGAGGGUUGCCAAGCCGCCGAGGUGGAGCCAAUCCCAGAAAACCGAUCGUAGUCCGGAUCGCAGUCUGCAACUCGAGCUGCGUGAAGUCUGGAACUCGCUAGUAAUCGCGGAUCAGCAU
rnacentral:rRNA from 1 species